rnacentral:rRNA from 1 species
GGGAUAACUCUGGGAAACUGGGGAUAAUACUGGAUAUUAGGCUAUGCCUGGAAUGGUUUGCCUUUGAAAUGUUUUUUCGCCUAAGGAUAGGUCUGCGGCUGAUUAGGUCGUUGGUGGGGUAAUGGCCCACCAAGCCGAUGAUCGGUACGGGUUGUGAGAGCAAGGGCCCGGAGAUGGAACCUGAGACAAGGUUCCAGACCCUACGGGGUGCAGCAGGCGCGAAACCUCCGCAAUGUACGAAAGUGCGACGGGGGGAUCCCAAGUGUUAUGCUUUUUUGUAUGACUUUUCAUUAGUGUAAAAAGCUUUUAGAAUAAGAGCUGGGCAAGACCGGUGCCAGCCGCCGCGGUAACACCGGCAGCUCGAGUGGUAGCUGUUUUUAUUGGGCCUAAAGCGUUCGUAGCCGGUUUGAUAAGUCUUUGGUGAAAGCUUGUAGCUUAACUAUAAGAAUUGCUGGAGAUACUAUUAGACUUGAAGUCGGGAGAGGUUAGAGGUACUACCGGGGUAGGGGUGAAAUCCUAUAAUCCUGGGAGGACCACCUGUGGCGAAGGCGUCUAACUGGAACGAUCUUGACGGUGAGUAACGAAAACCAGGGGCGCGAACCGGAUUAGAUACCCGGGUAGUCCUGGCCGUAAACGAUGUGGACUUGGUGUUGGAAUGGCUUUGAGUUGUUCCGGUGCCGAAGGGAAGCUGUUAAGUCCACCGCCUGGGAAGUACGGUCGCAAGACUGAAACUUAA